AGAGUUUGAUCCUGGCUCAGGAUGAACGCUAGCUACAGGCUUAACACAUGCAAGUCGAGGGGAAGCGCGGCGGAAGCUUGCUUCCGCUGGGCGGCGACCGGCGCACGGGUGCGUAACGCGUAUCCAACUUGCCCUUGUCCCGGGGAUAGCCUCGCGAAAGCGAGAAUAAUACCCGGUGUAGCCACGGUUCCGCAUGGAAUUGUGGCGAUAGGUCCGCCGGACAAGGAUAGGGAUGCGUCCCAUUAGGCAGUAGGCGGGGUAACGGCCCACCUAACCGACGAUGGGUAGGGGUUCUGAGAGGAAGGUCCCCCACAUUGGAACUGAGACACGGUCCAAACUCCUACGGGAGGCAGCAGUGAGGAAUAUUGGUCAAUGGGCGCGAGCCUGAACCAGCCAAGUAGCGUGCAGGAAGACGGCCCUAUGGGUUGUAAACUGCUUUUGCAGGAGGAUAAUAUGUCCCACGUGUGGGAUAUUGCAGGUAUCCUGCGAAUAAGGACCGGCUAAUUCCGUGCCAGCAGCCGCGGUAAUACGGAAGGUCCGGGCGUUAUCCGGAUUUAUUGGGUUUAAAGGGAGCGUAGGCGGGAGAUUAAGUCAGUUGUGAAAAGCAGCCGCUCAACGGUUGUCGUGCAGCUUGAUACUGGUUUUCUUGAGUGCGCGCGAGGAUGGUGGAAUUUGUGGUGUAGCGGUGAAAUGCUUAGAUAUCACAAAGAACUCCGAUUGCGAAGGCAGCUGUCCGGAGCGCAACUGACGCUGAGGCUCGAAGGUGCGGGUAUCAAACAGGAUUAGAUACCCUGGUAGUCCGCACGGUAAACGAUGGAUGCUAGUGGUCGGCGACAGACUGUCGGUCACCGAGCGAAAGCGUUAAGCAUCCCACCUGGGGAGUACGCCGGCAACGGUGAAAC
rnacentral:rRNA from 1 species